rnacentral:lncRNA from 1 species
AAACAGAGAGAGAGAUUUUGUCUCAGCUUGAUCACCCGUUCUUGCCCACGUUAUACUCUCACUUCGAGACCGAUAAACACUAUUGCUUGGUCAUGGAGUUUUGCGGCGGUGGCAAUCUCUAUUCCUUGAGACAGAAGCAACCUAACAAGUGCUUCACCGAAGAAGCAGCGAGGUUAGUAUCAAAGGAGUGUAGGAAGAAACAGAACAUUUCUCUGUAGAAUUCAAAAAUCGAUAUAAUUUAGGGUUUUCUUUAAUUUCUUACAGAUUCUUUGCUUCCGAAGUGCUAUUGGCAUUGGAGUACUUGCACAUGCUCGGAAUCGUAUACCGAGAUUUGAAGCCGGAGAAUGUUCUGGUAAGAGACGACGGACACAUUAUGCUUUCCGAUUUCGAUUUAUCUCUCCGAUGCUCAGUCAGUCCAACUCUCGUCAAAUCCUCCUCCGUUCACGGCGGCGGCAGCGGAAGCGGUCGGCCUAUCGGGCUAAUCGACGAGGAAUCGACGGUCCAAGGCUGUGCCCAGCCGUCCACCUUCUUCCCGCGGAUCCUACAAUCCUCGAAGAAGAAUCGAAAGGCGAAAUCUGACUUCGGGCUUUUCGUCAACGGAUCCUUGCCGGAGCUCAUGGCGGAGCCAACAAACGUUAAAUCG